rnacentral:rRNA from 1 species
UACGAAGGGGGCUAGCGUUGCUCGGAAUCACUGGGCGUAAAGCGCACGUAGGCGGCUUUUUAAGUCAGGGGUGAAAUCCUGGAGCUCAACUCCAGAACUGCCUUUGAUACUGAGAAGCUUGAGUCCGGGAGAGGUGAGGUGGAACUGCGAGUGUAGAGGUGAAAUUCGUAGAUAUUCGCAAGAACACCAGUGGCGAAGGCGGCUCACUGGCCCGGUACUGACGCUGAGGUGCGAAAGCGUGGGGAGCAAACAGG